CGAGUAAACCAGGUGACCGCCCCUAUAUGAUUGGGGAGGAAAGUCCGAGCUCCGCCGAGCAGGGCGCUGGGUAACACCCAGGAGGGGAGACCCUACGGAAAGUGCCACAGAAACACACCGCCAGCGGCCGGCUUAGCCAGUGCGGGCAAGGGUGAAAUGGCGAGGUAAGAGCUCACCAGCAACCAGGAGACUAGUUGGCUGGACAAACCCCGCCCGGAGCAAGACCAAAUAAGAGGGCCCAACUACCCCGAAGCCUGCGGACUCCGGGGUAAGUUUAAGGUGCUCGGCCAAGACCCUUGGGUUGGUCGCUUGACUCUGAUGGUAACAUCAGAGCUAGAUGGAUGGUCACCACCCCGACGCGGUCGGGGCACAGAACUCGGCUUAUAGGUUUACUCGCCCA
rnacentral:RNase_P_RNA from 1 species